rnacentral:rRNA from 1 species
GAUGAACGCUGGCGGCGUGCCUAAUACAUGCAAGUCGAGCGAACGGACGAGAAGCUUGCUUCUCUGAUGUUAGCGGCGGACGGGUGAGUAACACGUGGAUAACCUACCUAUAAGACUGGGAUAACUUCGGGAAACCGGAGCUAAUACCGGAUAAUAUUUUGAACCGCAUGGUUCAAAAGUAAAAGACGGUCUUGCUGUCACUUAUAGAUGGAUCCGCGCUGCAUUAGCUAGUUGGUAAGGUAACGGCUUACCAAGGCAACGAUGCAUAGCCGACCUGAGAGGGUGAACGGCCACACGGGAAGUGAGACACGGUCCAGACUCCUACGGGAGGCAGCAGUAGGGAAUCUUCCGCAAUGGGCGAAAGCCUGACGGAGCAACGCCGCGUGAGUGAUGAAGGUCUUCGGAUCGUAAAACUAUGUUAUUAGGGAAGAACAUAUGUGUAAGUACCUGUGCACAUCUUGACGGUACCUAAUCAGAAAGCCACGGCUAACUACGUG